AGUGAACGCUGGCGGUAGGCCUAACACAUGCAAGUCGAACGGCAGCACAGUAAGAUCUUGCUCUUACGGGUGGCGGGUGGCGGACGGGUGAGGAAUACAUCGGAAUCUACUUUUUCGGGGGGGAUAACGUAGGGAAACUUCCGCUAAUACCGCAUACUACCUACGGGUGAAAGCAGGGGUUCUUCGGACCUUGCGCGAUUGAAUUAGCCGAUGUCGGAUUAGCUAGUUGGCGGGGUAAAGGCCCACCAAGGCGACGAUCCGUAGCUGGUCUGAGAGGAUGAUCAGCCACACUGGAACUGAGACACGGUCCAGACUCCUACGGGAGGCAGCAGUGGGGAAUAUUGGACAAUGGGCGCAAGCCUGAUCCAGCCAUACCGCGUGGGUGAAGAAGGCCUUCGGGUUGUAAAGCCCUUUUGUUGGGAAAGAAAAGCAGCAGGUUAAUACCCCGCUGUUCUGACGGUACCCAAAGAAUAAGCACCGGCUAACUUCGUG
rnacentral:rRNA from 1 species